AGAGUUUGAUCCUGGCUCAGAAUCAACGCUGGCGGCGUGCCUAACACAUGCAAGUCGAACGAGAAAGGGGAGCAAUCCCUGAGUAAAGUGGCGACCGGGUGAGUAACACGUGACUAACCUACCCUCGAGUGUGGAAUAACCCCGGGAAACCGGGGCUAAUACCGCAUAAUAUCGCGAGAUCAAAGGAGUAAUCCGCUCGA
rnacentral:rRNA from 1 species